rnacentral:rRNA from 1 species
GAUGAACGCUGGCGGCGUGCCUAACACAUGCAAGUCGAACGAAGCUUGACGGAUGAUUUCUUCGGAAUGAAACCAGAUAUGACUUAGUGGCGGACGGGUGAGUAACACGUGAGCAACCUGCCUUUCAGAGGGGGAUAACGGCUGGAAACGGUCGCUAAUACCGCAUGAUGUGUUCGGAUGGCAUCAUCUGAACAUCAAAGAUUUAUCGCUGAAAGAUGGGCUCGCGUCUGAUUAGAUAGUUGGUGGGGUAACGGCCUACCAAGUCUACGAUCAGUAGCCGGACUGAGAGGUUGAACGGCCACAUUGGGACUGAGAUACGGCCCAGACUCCUACGGGAGGCAGCAGUGGGGAAUAUUGCACAAUGGGGGAAACCCUGAUGCAGCAACGCCGCGUGAAGGAUGACGGUUUUCGGAUUGUAAACUUCUUUUCUUAGGGACGAAGACAGUGACGGUAGCUAAGGAAUAAGCAUCGGCUAACUACGUG